rnacentral:rRNA from 1 species
UCAGGCCUAACACAUGCAAGUCGAGCGGCAGCGGGAAAGUAGCUUGCUACUUUUGCCGGCGAGCGGCGGACGGGUGAGUAAUGCCUGGGAAAUUGCCCAGUCGAGGGGGAUAACAGUUGGAAACGACUGCUAAUACCGCAUACGCCCUACGGGGGAAAGCAGGGGACCUUCGGGCCUUGCGCGAUUGGAUAUGCCCAGGUGGGAUUAGCUAGUUGGUGAGGUAAUGGCUCACCAAGGCGACGAUCCCUAGCUGGUCUGAGAGGAUGAUCAGCCACACUGGAACUGAGACACGGUCCAGACUCCUACGGGGGGCAGCAGUGGGGAAUAUUGCACAAUGGGGGAAACCCUGAUGCAGCCAAGGCGCGUGUGUGAAGAAGGCCUUCGGGUUUAAACCUCAUGGGCGAGGAGGAAAGGUUGAUGC